rnacentral:rRNA from 1 species
UACGUAGGGGGCUAGCGUUGUCCGGAAUCAUUGGGCGUAAAGAGCGCGUAGGCGGCCAGAUAAGUCCGGUGUGAAAGUCACAGGCUCAACCUGUGAAUGCCGCUGGAAACUGUCUGGCUUGAGUCCGGAAGGGGCGAGUGGAAUUCCUGGUGUAGCGGUGAAAUGCGCAGAUAUCAGGAGGAACACCGAUGGCGAAGGCAGCUCGCUGGAACGGUACUGACGCUGAGGCGCGAAAGCGUGGGGAGCGAACAGG